UUAUUGUCAAGAGGAUGGUAUUUUUAUGAUUAAGAGUGUGGCUUUUUAAUUAUUAAUAACAUGGCAUUUUUCUUAUUAGGAGGAUGGCAGUUUUAUUUUUAACAGGAUGAUUGCUUUAUUGUUUGAGAGCAUGGCAUUAUUAUUAUUAUUGGCAUGAUUUUUUUAUCAAGAUGAUGGCGUUUUAUUGUUAAGAGGAUGGCAGUUUUACAUUUUUAUUGGCGUGGCAUUUUGUAUCAUCAUAAUAAAUCUGUAAAUUAGAGAAAUGACAGUUUUAUAAAGUAGCUAGGCAAUUUUCAAAUUUUCUCAGAGCAAAGUGUUUUUAUAAAUUUACAUGUUUCUCAUGUUUUCCAUUUGAAUUUUUUUAUAUUUUUCUAAUGGCAUUUUCUAUCUAGAGAUGGCAGUUUUAAAGUCUAGCAUUGCAAUUUUAUUUUUCUAGAUCACACGACCUUUUUCAAUAAAUAAGAGAAAUAGUUGUUUUAUAAAGUAGCAUGGCAUUUUUCAUAAUUCAGAGCACACAUUUUUUAAAUUUAAAUUUUUCUCCUUUUUUUAUAAGAAAUAUUUUUAUGGCAAUUUUUAAAUAGAAAACAGUUAACUGGGCCCUUUAGGCCAAUCACGGUUCACAUUGGCCAGCCCCUAGCGAACGAGACGAAAUGUUUGCUGGGAGCUGCUCCCCUGGCGAACAAAAUCGUUCGAUGGGACCAACUCCCUGGUGAUUGGUCGUCAGUUAUUCUGGUCCAUGGGCAUAAUGAGAUAGAUAAUGAGAAUAAAGAAAAAAUCUGGCCAAAUCUACUACCUUGAGGAGACAGCUAAUGAUAAUAAAGAAAAACAAUCUGGCAAAAUCUACUACCUUGAGGAGACAGCUAAUGAGAAUAUUAAUGUGGACAAUUCUCAUUGCUCUUACCAAAAUUGAUUGUGCAAAUAAUAAAUGCAAUAGAAAUCUGUACCUAUGGAAUUUACGUGAAAAAAUCUGGAUGAUCUUGAGAAAAUUGAGUAAUUAAAACUAGAUUUUGUAGAGGCCUAUAUAAGGAUGCCGUUGCAUAUGCUACCUCAAACCCAAACCCAAAGGAGAGAGAUACACAAACAAGAGCACGGACAAGUUUAGGCAUUUCACGUAUGGAGGGGAAAACUACUCUAUGCUUUCUCAUGGUGCUUCUGCUGCUAGGAAACUGCACACAUGCUGAGAACAGCUGCAAAGAGCACCGUACUUUGGAGAUAGGCUGCAUAAGAAAAUAUUGUAGGAAAAACUGCAUUAGAGACUACGAAGGACAUCGUGUCAGGAAUGCUUAUUGUACUGGCUUUAUCCCCUUCAUCUUUUGUGUCUGCGACGUCUGUGACGGCUAGAAGUAUUACACAUGUAAGGAGACAAUGCAACAUCGCAUGACGGGGUUCAUUUACACAAAUGAAUCAUCAAGUUUGGCAUGGCAAUAAUAAAUUUUGCCUA